rnacentral:rRNA from 1 species
CCCUUAGAGUUUGAUCCUGGCUCAGGAUGAACGCUGGCGGCGUGCCUAACACAUGCAAGUCGAACGUGAGAGCUUAGCAAUAGGCUUGAAAGUGGCGAACGGGUGAGUAACACGUAGGUAACCUGCCGCGCAGAGGGGGAUAACCACUGGAAACGGUGGCUAACACCGCAUGGUACUGUGAAGAUGGGAAUCUUCAUGGUUAAAACCUGGAUAAAACCAGAUGCUGCGCGAGGGGUCUGCGUCCGAUUAGCUAGUUGAUGAGGUAACGGCUCACCAAGGCAGUGAUCGGUAGCUAGUCUGAGAGGAUGAUUAGCCACACGGGAACUGAGACACGGUCCCGACUCCUACGGGGGGCAGCAGUGAGGAAUAUUGCACAAUGGACGCAAGUCUGAUGCAGCAACGCCGCGUGGAGGAUGAAGGUCUUUGGAUUGUAAACUCCUUUUCUCAGGGAAGAGAAUGGACGGUACCUGAGGAAUAAGUCACGGCUAACUACGUGCCAGCAGCCGCGGUAAUACGUAGGUGGCAAGCGUUGUCCGGAUUUACUGGGCGUAAAGCGAACGCAGGCGGACCUUUAAGUAGGAAGUGAAAGGUUGGAGCUCAACUCUAACACUGCUCCCUAUACUGGAGGUCUUGAGUAGCGGAGAGGAAAACGGAACAAGUUGUGUAGCGGUGAAAUGCGUUGAUAUAACUUGGAACACCAAUGGCGAAAGCAGUUUUCUGGACGCAGACUGACGCUCAUGUUCGAAAGCCAAGGUAGCAAACAGGAUUAGAUACCCUGGUAGUCUUGGCCUUAAACGAUGUUCACUAGGUGUUGGGGGGUAACCCUCGGUGCCGCAGCUAACGCAUUAAGUGAACCGCCUGGGGACUACGGCCGCAAGGUUGAAACUCAAAGGAAUUGGCGGGGGACCGCACAAGCGGUGGAGCAUGUGGCUUAAUUCGAUGCAACGCGAAGAACCUUACCAGGGCUUGACAUGUAUCUGCAAGUCGCCGAAAAGCGAUCGCUUUCGAAGGUGAUACACAGGUGGUGCAUGGCUGUCGUCAGCUCGUGUUGUGAAAUGUUGGGUUAAGUCCCGCAACGAGCGCAACCCUCAUCGUUUGUUACCAGCGAGUAAAGUCGGGGACUCGAACGAAACUGCCUCUGUAAAGAGGAGGAAGGCGGGGAUGACGUCAAGUCAUCAUGCCCCUUACGCCCUGGGCUGCACACAUGCUACAAUGGCUGGCACAAAGGGUUGCCAACUCGCGAGAGUGAGCUAAUCCCAAAAAACCAGUCUCAGUUCGGAUCGCAGUCUGCAACUCGACUGCGUGAAGUCGGAAUCGCUAGUAACCGCCGGUCAGCAAUACGGCGGUGAAUACGUUCCCGGUCCUUGCACACACCGCCCGUCACGCCACGAAAGUCUGUCUUACCCGAAGUCGCUGCGCUAACCGCAAGGAAGCAGGCGCCGAAGGUAGGGCCGAUGAUUGGGACGAAGUCGUAACAAGGUAACCAAGGG